UACAGAGGUCUCAAGCGUUGUUCGGAUUCAUUGGGCGUAAAGGGUGCGUAGGCGGCGCGGUAAGUCGGGCGUGAAAUCUCGGAGCUUAACUUCGAAACUGCAUUCGAUACUGCCGUGCUUGAGGACUGGAGAGGAGACUGGAAUUUACGGUGUAGCGGUGAAAUGCGUAGAUAUCGGGAGGAACACCUGUGGCGAAAGCGGCGCACUGGACCGCUUCUGACGCUGAGGCGCGAAAGCUAGGGGAGCAAACAGG
rnacentral:rRNA from 1 species